rnacentral:rRNA from 1 species
UAGGGAAUUUUGCGCAAUGGGGGAAACCCUGACGCAGCGACGCCGCGUGAACGAAGAAGCCCUUCGGGGUGUAAAGUUCUGUUGGUAGGGAAGAAUGGUAUUACGACUAACAAUUGUAGUAUUUGACGGUACCUAUCGAGGAAGCUCCGGCUAACUCCGUGCCAGCAGCCGCGGUAAUACGGAGGGAGCGAGCGUUAUUCGGAAUUACUGGGCAUAAAGGGCGCGUAGGUGGGUGUGUAAGUCAGAGGUGAAAUACCACGGCUCAACUGUGGGGGUGCCUUUGAUACUGCACGUCUUGAGUACAGGAUAGGUGAGUGGAAUUCCAGGUGUAGCGGUGAAAUGCGUAGAUAUCUGGAAGAACACCGGUGGCGAAGGCGGCUCACUGGACUGAUACUGACACUGAGGCGCGAAAGCGUGGGGAGCAAACAGG